CUAUUCUCUAUUUACAUUCCGUAGACUGCAAGCGAUCAAUAGAUCUUAAUUUGCCGCUUUAAGGUAAGCUUGCCGAGGAAAGAAUCGAGUCUUCUUUUGAAAGAAGGCGAUUUGUCUACGGAUUUAAAGGUCCGUUUUUUGUUUAAUUA
rfam:Parcubacteria bacterium GW2011_GWC2_44_22 TW45_C0022, whole genome shotgun sequence.